AGAGGCUGUGAACUCGCCGACGAACAAGCAGCUAGCGAAGGAGGAGUCGCUUUAAGAAAUCUUCUUCCACACGCCCGCCUAGAUCCGUAGCGCACCAAGUUUAUGCAUGGUUUAAAAAGUUGGGCUGAUCGGGUAGUGAGCACUUCCAUCUGCAGUUCCCUUAAUAUGAAGAAAAAGAAACCCCCGGAUCAAGAGCAAAAUGUCCUCCUAUUUGGAAUGGAUCGCAUAGGAAAUAGGCAUCCCUACCGAGGGAGGGGAGUCAUCAGGCACAUUGAAGACAAUACUAAUGGUGGAGGUUCUCGGAGAGGGAAGAAGCGACAAAAGGGAAUGAAGGUUGGUCCGAAGGUUACCGUUCAAUCGGGGGGCAAGUCAGGUUCAAAAGUUUGGGAUCACUUUGAAAAGGUUCCGGUGCCAUCCACAACGCAACCUGGUGUCACGGUGAUUAUGGCACAGUGCAAUUACUGCAAGAAGUUCUUAUCCUACAAAUCAGAUCAAGGGGGUACCGGAGCCACUACACACCUCAAGAGACACUACACAAAUUCGUGUGCAGAUUACAAGGUCCUAAUGGCAAAGGUGGCUUCUCAAACCCUUCUCAACUUGGAGGCAACGGAGGAAGCCUGAUCUUUGAGAGGGACUUGGAGGCCUUAGCUGAGUUUCUCGAGCGCCCGCACCCGGAGUUCUUUGGAGCACAAGUCAACGAUCAGCCUGGAGGAGAACUGCAG